rnacentral:rRNA from 1 species
GUUGGGUAACACUAACUGGAGGACCGAACCGACUAAUGUUGAAAAAUUAGCGGAUGACCUGUGGCUGGGGGUGAAAGGCCAAUCAAACCGGGAGAUAGCUGGUUCUCCCCGAAAGCUAUUUAGGUAGCGCCUCGUGAAUUCAUCUCCGGGGGUAGAGCACUGUUUCGGCUAGGGGGCCAUCCCGGCUUACCAACCCGAUGCAAACUGCGAAUACCGGAGAAUGUUAUCACGGGAGACACACGGCGGGUGCUAACGUCCGUCGUGAAGAGGGAAACAACCCAGACCGCCAGCUAAGGUCCCAAAGUCAUGGUUAAGUGGGAAACGAUGUGGGAAGGCCCAGACAGCCAGGAUGUUGGCUUAGAAGCAGCCAUCAUUUAAAGAAAGCGUAAUAGCUCACUGGUCGAGUCGGCCUGCGCGGAAGAUGUAACGGGGCUAAACCAUGCACCGAAGCUGCGGCAGCGACACUGUGUGUUGUUGGGUAGGGGAGCGUUCUGUAAGCCUGUGAAGGUGUGUCGUGAGGCAUGCUGGAGGUAUCAGAAGUGCGAAUGCUGACAUAAGUAACGAUAAAGCGGGUGAAAAGCCCGCUCGCCGGAAGACCAAGGGUUCCUGUCCAACGUUAAUCGGGGCAGGGUGAGUCGACCCCUAAGGCGAGGCCGAAAGGCGUAGUCGAUGGGAAACGGGUUAAUAUUCCCGUACUUGGUGUUACUGCGAAGGGGGGACGGAGAAGGCUAUGUUGGCCGGGCGACGGUUGUCCCGGUUUAAGCGUGUAGGUGUGUGUUCCAGGUAAAUCCGGUUCACUUUAACACUGAGGCGUGACGACGAGGCACUACGGUGCUGAAGCAACAAAUGCCCUGCUUCCAGGAAAAGCCUCUAAGCAUCAGGUAACAUCAAAUCGUACCCCAAACCGACACAGGUGGUCAGGUAGAGAAUACCAAGGCGCUUGAGAGAACUCGGGUGAAGGAACUAGGCAAAAUGGUGCCGUAACUUCGGGAGAAGGCACGCUGACACGUAGGUGAAGUGAUUUACUCAUGGAGCUGAAGUCAGUCGAAGAUACCAGCUGGCUGCAACUGUUUAUUAAAAACACAGCACUGUGCAAACACGAAAGUGGACGUAUACGGUGUGACGCCUGCCCGGUGCCGGAAGGUUAAUUGAUGGGGUCAGCGCAAGCGAAGCUCCUGAUCGAAGCCCCGGUAAACGGCGGCCGUAACUAUAACGGUCCUAAGGUAGCGAAAUUCCUUGUCGGGUAAGUUCCGACCUGCACGAAUGGCGUAAUGAUGGCCAGGCUGUCUCCACCCGAGACUCAGUGAAAUUGAACUCGCUGUGAAGAUGCAGUGUACCCGCGGCAAGACGGAAAGACCCCGUGAACCUUUACUAUAGCUUGACACUGAACAUUGAGCCUUGAUGUGUAGGAUAGGUGGGAGGCUUUGAAGUGUGGACGCCAGUCUGCAUGGAGCCGACCUUGAAAUACCACCCUUUAAUGUUUGAUGUUCUAACGUGGACCCGUUACCCGGGUUGCGGACAGUGUCUGGUGGGUAGUUUGACUGGGGCGGUCUCCUCCUAAAGAGUAACGGAGGAGCACGAAGGUUGGCUAAUCCUGGUCGGACAUCAGGAGGUUAGUGCAAUGGCAUAAGCCAGCUUGACUGCGAGCGUGACGGCGCGAGCAGGUGCGAAAGCAGGUCAUAGUGAUCCGGUGGUUCUGAAUGGAAGGGCCAUCGCUCAACGGAUAAAAGGUACUCCGGGGAUAACAGGCUGAUACCGCCCAAGAGUUCAUAUCGACGGCGGUGUUUGGCACCUCGAUGUCGGCUCAUCACAUCCUGGGGCUGAAGUAGGUCCCAAGGGUAUGGCUGUUCGCCAUUUAAAGUGGUACGCGAGCUGGGUUUAGAACGUCGUGAGACAGUUCGGUCCCUAUCUGCCGUGGGCGCUGGAGAACUGAGGGGGGCUGCUCCUAGUACGAGAGGACCGGAGUGGACGCAUCACUGGUGUUCGGGUUGUCAUGCCAAUGGCACUGCCCGGUAGCUAAAUUCGGAAGAGAUAAGUGCUGAAAGCAUCUAAGCACGAAACUUGCCCCGAGAUGAGUUCUCCCUGAGACUUAGAGUCUCCUGAAGGAACGUUGAAGACGACGACGUUGAUAGGCCGGGUGUGUA